AGACCCGAAACCCGGUGAUCUAGCCAUGGGCAGGUUGAAGGUUGGGUAACACUAACUGGAGGACCGAACCGACUAAUGUUGAAAAAUUAGCGGAUGACCUGUGGCUGGGGGUGAAAGGCCAAUCAAACCGGGAGAUAGCUGGUUCUCCCCGAAAGCUAUUUAGGUAGCGCCUCGUGAAUUCAUCUCCGGGGGUAGAGCACUGUUUCGGCUAGGGGGCCAUCCCGGCUUACCAACCCGAUGCAAACUGCGAAUACCGGAGAAUGUUAUCACGGGAGACACACGGCGGGUGCUAACGUCCGUCGUGAAGAGGGAAACAACCCAGACCGCCAGCUAAGGUCCCAAAGUCAUGGUUAAGUGGGAAACGAUGUGGGAAGGCCCAGACAGCCAGGAUGUUGGCUUAGAAGCAGCCAUCAUUUAAAGAAAGCGUAAUAGCUCACUGGUCGAGUCGGCCUGCGCGGAAGAUGUAACGGGGCUAAACCAUGCACCGAAGCUGCGGCAGCGACGCUUAUGCGUUGUUGGGUAGGGGAGCGUUCUGUAAGCC
rnacentral:rRNA from 2 species